AUUGAACGCUGGCGGCAGGCCUAACACAUGCAAGUCGAACGAGUGGCGGACGGGUGAGUAAUGUCUGGGAACCUGCCUGAUGGAGGGGUCUAACUACUGGAAACGGUAGCUAAUACCGCAUACCAUCAGAUGUGCCCAGAUGGGUUUAGCUAGUUGGUGGGGUAACGGCUCACCAAGGCGACGAUCCCUAGCUGGUCUGAGAGGAUGACCAGCCACACUGGAACUGAGACACGGUCCAGACUCCUACGGGAGGCAGCAGUGGGGAAUAUUGCACAAUGGGCGCAAGCCUGAUGCAGCCAUGCCGCGUGUAUGAAGAAGGCCUUCGGGUUGUAAAGUACUGUCAGCGGGGAGGCGUUACCCGAAGAAGAAGCACCGGCUAACUCCGUGCCAGCAGCCGCGGUAAUUC
rnacentral:rRNA from 1 species